GCCCCAUGAAGGAGGCUAUGGGGGCCAGCUGAAAUACCAAACAGAGCCACACAGCUACAUCCUAAGCUCUGCUUGACUUUUCUUCACUGAGUUGUCAUCUUAAAUAAGCAUGUAAACUGGAGCGACUGCUAGUAUUCUGCAGAGAAUAUGCGUGAUUCCACUAUUUUGGGCCACUUUGAAGAAAAAGCAAUAUAAAAUGAAAAGCUGGUGGUUCUGUUAUCCAGAGCAUGAUGGAUCGGAGGGACUGCAUGCUAGAAAAAGCAAGAAAUCUGCUAAGGAGCCAUUCACUAAUUGCAGCAUUUUCACCAGACUACAUUUUCUAUGAGGGCCACGCAGAGCACAGCCAUAGGGAUAACCGAAUGUCCUGCUUUAUGGUCUCAACUCAAUUCAGUCACAUCCCCAAGCUGGACCACUGUACCCCAGCUGAGACUGUAAUGGAGACUAUGCCAUGUAUCUUGCAGACCACCCCUUCCAUUCUCACAUCUCAGGAAAUCUUUUGCUCUUUUGUGCUUAACCUUCAGUCUGUGUUAGAUCUAUGGAUGAAAUGAGCCAUUCAACAUGAUGUGGAGUCAAACAGCAAUUUGGACGUUUUCACUGACACAAUGGUAAAACACUGAGCAGCUGUAAAUUGGUGCUCAUUUUGUAAAAAGAAGAUGGACAGCCAGUAAAAUCAGAAAUUGUGAUAAAGUUACUCACUGAAUAAUACAUGAGAAAAAUCCCAUCUGGAGUACUCCCAUCCACUUCGAAGACAAAAACUUUUUGCUAAUGCCUGUCUGGAACUUUUUUU
rnacentral:lncRNA from 1 species